rnacentral:rRNA from 1 species
GAUGAACGCUGGCGGCGUGCCUAAUACAUGCAAGUCGAACGAGUUCUCGUUGAUGAUCGGUGCUUGCACCGAGAUUCAACAUGGAACGAGUGGCGGACGGGUGAGUAACACGUGGGUAACCUGCCCUUAAGUGGGGGAUAACAUUUGGAAAUAGAUGCUAAUACCGCAUAGAUCCAAGAACCGCAUGGUUCUUGGCUGAAAGAUGGCGUAAGCUAUCGCUUUUGGAUGGACCCGCGGCGUAUUAGCUAGUUGGUGAGGUAAUGGCUCACCAAGGCGAUGAUACGUAGCCGAACUGAGAGGUUGAUCGGCCAUAUUGGGACUGAGACACGGCCCAAACUCCUACGGGAGGCAGCAGUAGGGAAUCUUCCACAAUGGACGCAAGUCUGAUGGAGCAACGCCGCGUGAGUGAAGAAGGCUUUCGGGUCGUAAAACUCUGUUGUUGGAGAAGAAUGGCCGGCAGAGUAACUGUUGUCGGCGUGACGGUAUCCAACCAGAAAGCCACGGCUAACUACGUGCCAGCAGCCGCGGUAAUACGUAGGUGGCAAGCGUUAUCCGGAUUUAUUGGGCGUAAAGCGAGCGCAGGCGGUUUUUUAAGUCUGAUGUGAAAGCCCUCGGCUUAACCGAGGAAGCGCAUCGGAAACCUGGGAAACUUGAGUGCAGAAGAGGACAGUGGAACUCCAUGUGUAGCGGUGAAAUGCGUAGAUAUAUGGAAGAACACCAGUGGCGAAGGCGGCUGUCUGGUCUGUAACUGACGCUGAGGCUCGAAAGCAUGGGUAGCGAACAGGAUUAGAUACCCUGGUAGUCCAUGCCGUAAACGAUGAAUGCUAGGUGUUGGAGGGUUUCCGCCCUUCAGUGCCGCAGCUAACGCAUUAAGCAUUCCGCCUGGGGAGUACGACCGCAAGGUUGAAACUCAAAGGAAUUGACGGGGGCCCGCACAAGCGGUGGAGCAUGUGGUUUAAUUCGAAGCAACGCGAAGAACCUUACCAGGUCUUGACAUCUUUUGAUCACCUGAGAGAUCAGGUUUCCCCUUCGAGGGCAAAAUGACAGGUGGUGCAUGGUUGUCGUCAGCUCGUGUCGUGAGAUGUUGGGUUAAGUCCCGCAACGAGCGCAACCCUUAUGACCAGUUGCCAGCAUUUAGUUGGGCACUCUAGUAAGACUGCCGGUGACAAACCGGAGGAAGGUGGGGAUGACGUCAAAUCAUCAUGCCCCUUAUGAUCUGGGCUACACACGUGCUACAAUGGAUGGUACAACGAGUUGCGAGACCGCGAGGUCAAGCUAAUCUCUUAAAGCCAUUCUCAGUUCGGACUGUAGGCUGCAACUCGCCUACACGAAGUCGGAAUCGCUAGUAAUCGCGGAUCAGCACGCCGCGGUGAAUACGUUCCCGGGCCUUGUACACACCGCCCGUCACACCAUGAGAGUUUGUAACACCCGAAGCCGGUGGCGUAACCCUUUUAGGGAGCGAGCCGUCUAAGGUGGGACAAAUGAUUAGGGUGAAG